rnacentral:lncRNA from 1 species
UUCUUAUUCCUCUUUCCCUUUAUUUCUAGUCUUAAGAUCUUCAAGAUAUAACAGAACCACCCUGAAAGCUUUGUUUAAUUAAUAUCUGACUCUGUCCCCUGGUGUUGAUAGACUUCAGAGAGUACUGAAAUAGGAAUGAUAAUCCAUGUGACUAUUGAGAGAGCUGCUACUAGUAUGGGGACACACCUGCCUAUUUGCAAUGGAGAUAGAAGUACUUUGAGAGACAUUGAGAAAUACUGCUACAGAGAUAGAGGGAUGCUGCCACAGGGGAAUGCUCUGGGGUUUGCCUAUAAUCUCUUCUGAUGGCUGAUAGAUCAGUCUAUUUCCUAACCUCCUCCUCCCUUCACUCCCAGAUCCCACACACUCCCUCACCCCCUUCUCCCUUCUUUCAGCUUCUUGCUCCCAGUUUCUUCUUGAAACUUGUGGCUUUGCCCCUCCCCUCUGAGUGGGCAAGAAGAUACGCUUGUUUUCUUUCUCAGGUAUCUUUCAGAUGA